AACUCUCAAACCGUCAUCUUUUAUGGAUGUUCGGGCUUGGAUUUGGAUGUUGCUGGGUCUAACGACUCGGCUCGUCUUAAAAGCAUUAGCUGUCUCUCACGACUUCAGUUAACGGUGUGAUAAUUACAUCUACGCCGAAGCCUUCGGGCGCUGAGUCGGGUUAAAGUGGCUUCUAACCGUCUUCAGACAAUUUUCAUUUUCAC
rnacentral:misc_RNA from 1 species